UACGAAGGGGGCUAGCGUUGUUCGGAUUUACUGGGCGUAAAGCGCACGUAGGCGGAUCGUUAAGUCGGGGGUGAAAUCCUGGAGCUCAACUCCAGAACUGCCUUCGAUACUGGCGAUCUUGAGUCCGGAAGAGGUGAGUGGAACUCCUAGUGUAGAGGUGGAAUUCGUAGAUAUUAGGAAGAACACCAGUGGCGAAGGCGGCUCACUGGUCCGGUACUGACGCCUGAGGUGCGAAAGCGUGGGGAGCAAACAGG
rnacentral:rRNA from 1 species